rnacentral:lncRNA from 10 species
GGGACACGAUACACUGCGGAAGGCUGCAGGGACCUCUGCCCAGGAAAGCCAGGCUUGCAUGAAGGAAAUGAUUUCCUAUGAUUCUGCUUACUGCUUAAAAAAAUUAAUCAAGUUUUCUGCCUGACAAGUGGUUUCCAAAAGGAAAAGCUUUGGGAGAUAGAAGUCCUCGUUUUGACCUCUGCCCUCCUUGUACACCAGGAGCCAGAAAAACUUCAUCUCUUUUACAAGAAACAUUGAGAUUCCUGUAAAAUUAAGAAAUCACACAAUUUGAUGGUCUACAUUAUCUAAAGCAAAUGAGACUUCUAUUUGGAACAAAGACUACCUUGUUGGGAAAUGAGUCUGCAAGUUAAAGUGUUUUCUG